GACGUAGGGCGCGAGCGUUGUCCGGAUUUAUUGGGCGUAAAGAGCUCGUAGGCGGCUUGUUGCGUAAGCUGUGAAAACCCGCAGCUCAACUGUGGGCUUGCAGCUGAUACGGGCAGGCUUGAGUUCGGUAGGGGAGACUGGAAUUCCUGGUGUAGCGGUGAAAUGCGCAGAUAUCAGGAGGAACACCGGUGGCGAAGGCGGGUUGCUGGGCCGACACUGACGCUGAGGCGCGAAAGCUAGGGGAGCGAACGGG
rnacentral:rRNA from 1 species